rnacentral:rRNA from 1 species
GACGAACGCUGGCGGCGUGCUUAACACAUGCAAGUCGAACGGAAAGGCCCUGCUUUUGUGGGGUGCUCGAGUGGCGAACGGGUGAGUAACACGUGAGUAACCUGCCCUUGACUUUGGGAUAUCUCCGGGAAACGGGGGUAAUAACGGGUAAGAACCCCUGGCGCCUGGUGGGGGGUGGGAAGGUUUCGGCGGUGGGGAUGGUACUCGGGGCUUAUCAGCUGGUUGUGGGGGUGGUGGCUUACAAGGGCUUUGACGGGUAGCCGGCCUGAGGGGGUGACCGGCCACAUUGGGACUGAGAUACGGCCCAGUCUCCUACGGGCGGCAGCAGUGGGGAAUAUUGCACAAUGGGCGGAAGCCUGAUGCAGCAACGCCGCGUGCGGAAUGACGGCCUUCGGGUUGUAAACCGCUUUCGCCUGUGACGAGGCGUGAGUGACGGUAAUGGGUAAAGAAGCACCGGCUAACUACGUG